GGAAAGAUGGCUGAGCGGUUUAAAGCGUUGAUCUUGAAAAUCAAUCAUCAGUUUUGAUGUCGUGGGUUCGAAUCCCACUCUUUCCG
rnacentral:tRNA from 1 species